rnacentral:rRNA from 1 species
GCGUGAGCAAUCUGCCCUUCGGAGGGGGACAACAGCUGGAAACGGCUGCUAAUACCGCAUGAUAUAUUUGGGUGGCAUCAUCUGAAUAUCAAAGAUUUAUCGCCGAAGGAUGAGCUCGCGUCUGAUUAGCUAGUUGGUAGGGUAACGGCCUACCAAGGCUGCGAUCAGUAGCCGGACUGAGAGGUUGAACGGCCACAUUGGGACUGAGAUACGGCCCAGACUCCUACGGGAGGCAGCAGUGGGGAAUAUUGGGCAAUGGGGGAAACCCUGACCCAGCAACGCCGCGUGAAGGAAGAAGGCUUUCGGGUUGUAAACUUCUUUGACCAGGGACGAAACAAAUGACGGUACCUGGAAAACAAGCCACGGCUAACUACGUGCCAGCAGCCGCGGUAAUACGUAGGUGGCAAGCGUUGUCCGGGUUUACUGGGUGUAAAGGGCGCGUAGGCGGGAUUGCAAGUCAGAUGUGAAAUGCUGGGGCUUAACCCUGGAACUGCAUUUGAAACUGUGAUUCUUGAGUAUCGGA